UUGCAGGUUAGUUUCAGCAUGGCUGGUCAGUGCCAUACUGUCGUUCCCCCUGCAGAAAUUAAAAUUGUUUCAUUUCUAUCCCUGUGUGCUUUGGUGCAACAGCAGGCAGGGACGCUUAGUUACAAACAU